rnacentral:ncRNA from 1 species
AGGAGCCGAAUGAAAUCAAAAUUUCAUGUUCGGUUUGAAUUGGAGACGUUAAAAAUAAUCAACCAACAU